GACGAACGCUGGCGGCGUGCUUAACACAUGCAAGUCGAACGGAAAGGCCCUGCUUUUGUGGGGUGCUCGAGUGGCGAACGGGUGAGUAACACGUGAGUAACCUGCCCUUGACUUUGGGAUAACUUCAGGAAACUGGGGCUAAUACCGGAUAGGAGCUCCUGCUGCAUGGUGGGGGUUGGAAAGUUUCGGCGGUUGGGGAUGGACUCGCGGCUUAUCAGCUUGUUGGUGGGGUAGUGGCUUACCAAGGCUUUGACGGGUAGCCGGCCUGAGGGGGUGACCGGCCACAUUGGGACGGAGAUACGGCCCAGACUCCUACGGGAGGCAGCAGUGGGGAAUAUUGCACAAUGGGCGGAAGCCUGAUGCAGCAACGCCGCGUGCGGGAUGACGGCCUUCGGGUUGUAAACCGCUUUCGCCUGUGACGAAGCGUGAGUGACGGUAAUGGGUAAAGAAGCACCGGCUAACUACGU
rnacentral:rRNA from 1 species